UACGGAGGGUGCGAGCGUUGUUCGGAAUCACUGGGCGUAAAGGGCGUGUAGGCGGCCCGCUAAGUCUGAUGUGAAAGCCCGGGGCUCACCCCCGGAAGUGCAUUGGAAACUGGCGGACUCGAGUCCCGGAGAGGAGAGUGGAAUUCCUGGUGUAGCGGUGAAAUGCGUAGAUAUCAGGAGGAACACCGGUGGCGAAGGCGGCUCUCUGGACGGUGACUGACGCUGAGGCACGAAAGCGUGGGGAGCAAACAGG
rnacentral:rRNA from 1 species